rnacentral:rRNA from 1 species
UGAAGGCUGAGACGUGAUGCCGAGCCGAUUCAGGUGAAGUCAGUGAUCCUAUGCUGCCGAGAAAAGCCUCUAGCGAGUUCUUAGCGGCCCGUACCCCAAACCGACACAGGUGGUCAGGUAGAGAAUACCAAGGCGACGGGCGAACUGUGGUUAAGGAACUCGGCAAAUUACCCCCGUAACUUCGGGAGAAGGGGGGCCGGACACGUGAAGCAACACGCUUGUGGAGCGUGGUAUGGCCGCAGAGACCAGGGGGAAGCGACUGUUUACUAAAAACACAGGUCCAUGCGAAGAAGUAAUUCGAUGUAUAUGGACUGACGCCUGCCCGGUGCUGGAACGUUAAGGGGACCUGUUAGCUCUUCGGGGCGAAGCGGAGAACUUAAGCGCCAGUAAACGGCGGUGGUAACUAUAACCAUCCUAAGGUAGCGAAAUUCCUUGUCGGGUAAGUUCCGACCUGCACGAAUGGCGUAACGACUUCCCUACUGUCUCAACCACAGGCCCGGCGAAAUUGCAGUACGAGUAAAGAUGCUCGUUACGCGCGGCAGGACGGAAAGACCCCGGGACCUUUACUAUAGCUUGACAUUGGUAUCUGAGUUAAUUUGUGUAGGAUAGGUGGGAGCCUGUGAAGCUCGUACGCCAGUACGGGUGGAGGCAAUCUUGAAAUACCACUCUGGUUGAUUCGGGUAUCUAACUUCGGACCGUGAUCCGGUUCAGGGACAGUGUCUGGUGGGUAGUUUAACUGGGGCGGUUGCCUCCUAAAGAGUAACGGAGGCGCCCAAAGGUUCCCUCAGCCUGGUUGGCAAUCAGGUGUUGAGUGUAAGUGCACAAGGGAGCUUGACUGUGAGACUGACAGGUCGAGCAGGGACGAAAGUCGGGACUAGUGAUCCGGCACCGGCAUGUGGAAGCGGUGUCGCUCAACGGAUAAAAGGUACCCCGGGGAUAACAGGCUGAUCUUCCCCAAGAGUCCAUAUCGACGGGAUGGUUUGGCACCUCGAUGUCGGCUCGUCGCAUCCUGGGGCUGUAGCAGGUCCCAAGGGUUGGGCUGUUCGCCCAUUAAAGCGGUACGCGAGCUGGGUUUAGAACGUCGUGAGACAGUUCGGUCCCUAUCCGCCGUGCGCGUAGGAUACUUGAGAAGGGCUGUCCCUAGUACGAGAGGACCGGGACGGACGAACCUCUGGUGUGCCAGUUGUCCCGCCAGGGGCACGGCUGGUUAGCUACGUUCGGAAGGGAUAACCGCUGAAAGCAUCUAAG